AGAGCAGCGCGCGGGGCAGACCUCCUCGGGUCCCCCGGCGCUUCGGUCUCCGGAGACGCCCGGCCUCCUGAAGGGUUCGGCUUGUCCUCCUCUGGCGCUCAGCUCCCUCUGGCGGCCGGGCUGGCAGGACCUCAGCGCCCAGCCCUUCCUUCUUGUUACGUCCAGGGUCUCACUCUGUGUCUCAGGCUGCAGUACAGUGGUGCAAUUGUAGAUGGCUGCAGCCCUCGACCUCCUGGGCUCAAGUGAUCCUCCUGCCUUAGCCUCUUGAGUAGCUGGGAGUACAGAUGCACACCACCACACCCAGCCUAGAAUGAAGAAACCUGCAGUUGGGAAGCAUGAAUUUACCACCUAUUAAGAAUUGUGGUUUGCAUUGUAAGAGGAGCCUGUGAAUUCAGAGGCAAGUCUGCUGAGGACCGAAUGUUCCUGUCCAUAAAAACAGAAGUCUGGCCUGGGCUCCUCUCUUGGGUGAAUUUGCAAUGCCAGAUCCUCUCUAUCAGUUUGGUUUUGUUUCUUGUAUCUCUGGGAAGGCAGGCAGACAGCACGGUCACCUGUGAAUGCAGCUACAAUUGGCUUAGCUGCCUCACUGAUAAAUGUGCCCCCAGUAAGCUACAAAGGGAUUACCAGCGUUCUCAGCAGCUAAAGGAACUGGCGAAGAUUUCCCCAGCAAAAAGUAGAAGCCCAGUGUUUCAUAGAUGAAGACUGGGGAGAUUGCAAAAGACCCAUCCAGCAGUGGUUCUCAGACCUCAGUGUGCAUCAGAAUCACCUGGAAGGCUUGUGAAAACACGUAUUGCUGGGCCACACCCCCAGAAUUUCUGGAUCAGUAAAGCUGGGAUUCUUACUUUGAGUAGCCAACUUGCAGAAUACAAUAGAAUUUUGGGAGGAGCCCCUCGAUGCCUGGCUUUACUGUUGGAGAGACAGUACAGUAUACACCAGAUGACUUAUUUGUGAACCAUGGAAAUGUUUGGAAAAGCCUACUUCAUGCUUUGAACAGAAGAGUUUUAUCAGUUUUAAAUGUUUCCUCAUUUCUAUACCUUGUUUUAUCUGAGGAGCUUAAGCCAUUUUGUAGAGGCAUUAAGUAUUGCCUCAGUCUUAAUAUGUGAGACAAGGUGUGAGGAAUAUAGAGAUUCAUAAAAUAAUCCCCAUCUUCAAGGAACUCACAGUCAGGAAGAACAUAGCCUGCAACACAAAUAAUUGCAAUAUAGUAGAAGUGCCAAUAGGAGCUCUAUGAAGGGCGUGAAACAGGAAAGGCUACAUAGAGGAGAUGGCAGACACUCUGUGGAUUGUGAUCUGUUGGUGGGCCAUGAAAUCAAUUUGGGGGUUUGAGAGCAUCAUUCUUUUAAUAAAACAGAAGAGAAUCGUCUGCAAUAAGGAACCCAUGGAUGAAUACCAUCUGGUCCUGGUGAUUUACUGCACAGAGUCCCUCAAGUUGCUCCAUACCUUUCUCCUGAGAGACUGAAGAAUCUCUGUCAAGGCCGUUCUCUGCUUUGCCAUAAAAUGUGUCCUUGGAACAAGAAUUUCCCCAUUGUCUUCUUCAAUAAAUACUGAUUCAAAGUA
rnacentral:lncRNA from 1 species